rnacentral:tRNA from 1 species
GGCGGCAUGGCCAAGCGUUAAGGCAGGGGACUGCAAAUCCUUUAUCCCCAGUUCAAAUCUGGGUGCCGCCU